rnacentral:tRNA from 1 species
GAGGGUGUAGCUCAGUGGUAGAGCACAUGCUUAGCAUGCACGAGAUCCUGGGUUGAAUUCCCAGUACCUCCA